UACGUAGGGGGCAAGCGUUAUCCGGAUUUACUGGGUGUAAAGGGAGCGUAGACGGCAAUGCAAGUCUGGAGUGAAAGGCGGGGGCCCAACCCCCGGACUGCUCUGGAAACUGUAUAGCUGGAGUGCAGGAGAGGUAAGUGGAAUUCCUAGUGUAGCGGUGAAAUGCGUAGAUAUUAGGAGGAACACCAGUGGCGAAGGCGGCUUACUGGACUGUAACUGGCGUUGAGGCUCGAAAGCGUGGGUAGCAAACAGG
rnacentral:rRNA from 1 species